GCCCGCAUAGAUCAACGGUAGAUCAUCUCUCCCAGUUGAUAUACCGAAGUCUGGACACGAGAGGAUGGAGGUUCGAAUCCUCCUGCGGGCA